AUGCUGGGAGGUGGCCUGGUCACUUGGCAUGAGUUUGACCUUGUCCCUCUCCUCUUCAUGAUGUUUGCCCAUGGCUCAGAUCCCUGGGCAGACUCAGUGUGCCCGUCAUGGGCCAUUGGGCACAGGGGCCUGUCCCACUGCCUGGGGAUGGCCGUGCUCCUGGGGCACUGGCUGACCCCCAUCUUCUCCCCUCUCUCCUCUCCCUCUCCAGGUUCCCUGGUCCAGGCAGCGCUGACUCAGCCGCCCUCCGUGUCAGCGAAUUUGGGACAAACCGUCCAGAUCACCUGCUCCGGGGUUAGCAGUUACGGUUAUGCUGGCUGGUACCAGCAGAAGGUCCCUGGCAGUGCCCCUGUCACCGUGAUCUACUGGAAUGACAACAGACCCUCAGACAUCCCUUCACGAUUCUCUGGAUCCUUCUCCGGCUCCACGGCCACGUUAACCAUCACUGGGGUCCAAGCUGAAGAUGAGGCUGUCUAUUACUGUGGUCAAUAUGAGGACACCUAUACUGGUGCCACAGUGACAGAGAGCAAUGGGGAAGUGAUACAAAAGCCUCCUGUCAUCGCAGGGGCCAGUUAGGAGUCUCUGCUGUCCCUGUUUGAUGGUGGGGCAGGGCCCUGCCAUGGCCCUGCCCUAGCUGCCCUGUGCUGCAGGUGCCUGUGCCUGGUGUCCUGCCUCGGCUGUCCCUUACAGCCCCAGGUCU